CUCUAAGCUGGGCUCCUUGGGUUGCGGACUGCAGAAGCCUUGUAGAAAAGAUCUUUCUGGAAACUGCCAGGAACUUUCCAUAGUCUUGGAGAUUUUAGUGGGAGGCAGAAGAGAUCAGUAUCUUAUUUCCCAGUCAGCGCUCACCCCUACCUCGUUUGUGUCUGUGUAAGUUUUGGCUCUGAAUAGAAACUCACAUCCAUUCUGUUGAUUGAGUAAGGCCGGAAGAGAGGUCUGCUCGGCUGGGAUGUUCUAGUUAACAAGCUGAUUUAAAAUAGGAAAUGCUGCUCUUUGUUUUUCCAAAAUCGAGCUGUCUGUUAAAUGCUCUAGUUAUCUGCUACACAGAGGCAAAAUUUGUCCCUAAUAAGUGGGAGAGUCACUGCAGAGCAGAAAUUCUGCUGUCUGUGGGCAUCACCCUGGGGAGCAGCUGCACAAGUUUGGGAAUCACGUUAGCAGCACACGGCUGCCACAGGCUUCUGGGGUUCCUUCUCUAUUUCAAAAUGACUUGAUACAUCUUUUCAGGAAGGCUGUCACUGCAAAAUGAGGAACAAAGUCUGGCAACCUGGACCGUUGAGAGUUUGGAGCCACCCUCCCUGUGGGGAAGUAUGCCUCCUGCUCUGAGCCCCCUGUUCCUUGCCCACACACAGGUGUGGUUUUCCCCACUGUUCCUUGGGUGCCUUGUGACCUUGAACUUGGUGCACUGAGCAUCUUGAAUUUGCCUCCAGGCCCGAUGGCUCCUCUGCUCUCUGUUCCCUGGCUUCCCAUUGAGUUUGGCCAGUGGAAGUCCCAACCAGGUGACUUGCUGGGAGGGGAGGAGGACCUACUGCCUGGCUCCCAACCUGUGAGGUCCUGUGGUUCCCUCCCGCAGAGGGCCCAGAUUCUACAUCCUCCUCCUGUCCUUCCCCCGGGUCUCCCUAGGAGGAAAGUCUCCCCUCUACCACCAGCUCUGGGUGGUACACGUCCUCUUACAGUAUUCCUCCACCCUUAUUGGUAUUCCUGACAUUCCCAAUUUAAGGAGACACUUGCUUCCUGCCAGGACUCUGACUAAUACACAUGGCAACCUUCUUGUUCACAUUUUACAUUUUAAAAUAGUUGGAAAGCACCGCUUUGAGCUGAUGUGGGGCGGCGGGGUGGGGGGUGCUCUCCGGCUCCUCUGUCCCUUCUGUUUCUCUGCAUCCCCAGUCCCAGACCCACUGAAGAUCCCCCUGACCUCUGUUCUCAUCCUGCCCCUGCCCCUGCCCCUGGUGUGAUAAAUCAGUGAAACCGCCAGUCACCGAGCACCUGUGAUGGCCAGGCCCAGUGGCAGGAUCUGAGGAUUGUAAGAAGACCUG
rnacentral:lncRNA from 1 species